rnacentral:rRNA from 1 species
GACGAACGCUGGCGGCGUGCUUAACACAUGCAAGUCGAACGGAAAGGCCCUGCUUUUGUGGGGUGCUCGAGUGGCGAACGGGUGAGUAACACGUGAGUAACCUGCCCUUGACUUUGGGAUAACUUCAGGAAACUGGGGCUAAUACCGGAUAGGAGCUCCUGCUGCAUGGUGGGGGUUGGAAAGUUUCGGCGGUUGGGGAUGGACUCGCGGCUUAUCAGCUUGUUGGUGGGGUAGUGGCUUACCAAGGCUUUGACGGGUAGCCGGCCUGAGAGGGUGACCGGACACAUUGGGACUGAGAUACGGCCCAGACUCCUAUGGGAGGCAGCAGUGGGGAAUAUUGCACAAGGGGCGGAAGCCUGAUGCAGCAACGCCGCGUGCGGGAUGACGGCCUUCGGGUUGUAAACCGCUUUCGCCUGUGACGAAGCGUGAGUGACGGUAAUGGGUAAAGAAGCACCGGCUAACUACGUG